GUGAACCAAGAUCGCACCGCUGCACUUCAGCCUGGCAAGGGAACAAGACUCCCUCUCAAAAAAAAAAAAAAAAAAAAAAAAAAAAAAAAAAAAAGGAAAAGAAAAGAAAUGUAGGCUCUGGGCCCCAACUCUGGUGGAUUCAGAUUUACUAGGACUAGCGGUUGUGAUGUGGUUUUGUAUUUAGUAUUUUUAACCGGCGCUGCGGUUGGUUCUGAGUUGUAGCAAGGUUUGUGAAUAAGUAAAUGAGCCUGUCUCCAAUAUCUGUCCACAGGUAUCUGUGGUGAAAUGCAACUCCAGAGCAGAUGUGCCUACCUGGAAUCCAUGAUCUUCCUGAAAUUGCAGGCUGAAAUCUAAACCACAA
rnacentral:lncRNA from 1 species